rnacentral:rRNA from 1 species
UACGGAGGGUGCAAGCGUUAUCCGGAUUCACUGGGUUUAAAGGGUGCGUAGGUGGGCAGGUAAGUCAGUGGUGAAAUCUCCGAGCUUAACUCGGAACUGCCGUUGAUACUAUUUGUCUUGAAUAUUGUGGAGGUAAGCGGAAUAUGUCAUGUAGCGGUGAAAUGCUUAGAUAUGACAUAGAACACCAAUUGCGAAGGCAGCUUACUACACAACGAUUGACGCUGAGGCACGAAAAGCGUGGGGAUCAAACAGG